GAUGCUAUUUCUAGAGAUAGAAAGUUACUUCGGUACAUCGGUGACAGGUGGUGCAUGGUUGUCGUCAGCUCGUGUCGUGAGAUGUUGGGUUAAGUCCCGCAACGAGCGCAACCCCUAUUGUUAGUUGCCAUCAUUCAGUUGGGCACUCUAACGAGACUGCCGGUAAUAAACCGGAGGAAGGUGGGGAUGACGUCAAAUCAUCAUGCCCCUUAUGACCUGGGCUACACACGUGCUACAAUGGUUGGUACAACGAGUUGCGAGUCGGUGACGGCGAGCUAAUCUCUUAAAGCCAAUCUCAGUUCGGAUUGUAGGCUGCAACUCGCCUACAUGAAGUCGGAAUCGCUAGUAAUCGCGGAUCAGCACGCCGCGGUGAAUACGUUCCCGGGCCUU
rnacentral:rRNA from 1 species